rnacentral:rRNA from 1 species
GAUGAACGCUGGCGGCGUGCCUAAUACAUGCAAGUCGAGCGAACAGACGAGGAGCUUGCUCCUCUGACGUUAGCGGCGGACGGGUGAGUAACACGUGGAUAACCUACCUAUAAGACUGGGAUAACUUCGGGAAACCGGAGCUAAUACCGGAUAAUAUAUUGAACCGCAUGGUUCAAUAGUGAAAGACGGUUUUGCUGUCACUUAUAGAUGGAUCCGCGCCGCAUUAGCUAGUUGGUAAGGUAACGGCUUACCAAGGCAACGAUGCGUAGCCGACCUGAGAGGGUGAUCAGCCACACUGGAACUGAGACACGGUCCAGACUCCUACGGGAGGCAGCAGUAGGGAAUUUUCCGCAAUGGGCGAAAGCCUGACGGAGCAACGCCGCGUGAAGGAUGAAGGUCUUUGGAUCGUAAAACUCUGUUAUUAGGGAAGAACAAACUUGUAAGAAAAUAGGGACGUCUUGACGGUACCUUAACAGAAAGCCACGGCUAACUACGUG